GCCACUCUAGUCAAGUUGGUCACGACACUUGUCUGAAAAACAAGCUAUCUCGGUUCGAUUCCGAGGGGUGGCA
rnacentral:tRNA from 1 species